rnacentral:rRNA from 1 species
AUUGAACGCUGGCGGCAGGCCUAACACAUGCAAGUCGAACGCGUGGCGGACGGGUGAGUAAUGUCUGGGAAACUCCCUGAUGGAGGGGGAUAAAUACUGGCAACGGUAGCUAAUCCCGCAUACCAUCAGAUGUGCCCAGAUGGUAUUAGCUAGUUGGUGGGGUAACGGCUCACCAAGGCGACAAUCCCCAGCUGGUCUGAGGGGAUGACCAGCAAAACGGGAAAUGAGACACGGUCCAGAGUCCUACGGGAGGCAGCAGUGGGGAAUAUUGCACAAUGAGCGAAAGCCUGAUGGAGCCAGGCCGCGGGUAUGAAGAAGGCCUGCGGGUUGUAAAGUACUUUCAGCGGGGAGGCGUUACCCGCAGAAGAAGCACCGGCUAACUCCGUGCCAGCAGCCGCGGUAAUAC